AGUGAACGCUGGCGGUAGGCCUAACACAUGCAAGUCGAACGGCAGCACAAUAAGAGCUUGCUCUUACGGGUGGCGAGUGGCGGACGGGUGGGGAAUACAUCGGAAUCUACUUUUUCGUGGGGGAUAACGUAGGGAAACUUACGCUAAUACCGCAUACGACCUACGGGUGAAAGCAGGGGAUCUUCGGACCUUGCGCGAUUGAAUGAGCCGAUGUCGGAUUAGCUAGUUGGCGGGGUAAAGGCCCACCAAGGCGACGAUCCGUAGCUGGUCUGAGAGGAUGAUCAGCCACACUGGAACUGAGACACGGUCCAGACUCCUACGGGAGGCAGCAGUGGGGAAUAUGGGACAAUGGGCGCAAGCCUGAUCCAGCCAUACCGCGUGGGUGAAGAAGGCCUGCGGGUUGUAAAGCCCUUUUGUUGGGAAAGAAAAGCAGCAGGUUAAUACCCCGCUGUUCUGACGGUACCCAAAGAAUAAGCACCGGCUAACUUCGU
rnacentral:rRNA from 1 species